rnacentral:rRNA from 1 species
GUACACAAAAAUGCACAUACUGUGAGCUCGAUGAGUAGGGCGGGACACGUGGUAUCCUGUCUGAAUAUGGGGGGACCAUCCUCCAAGGCUAAAUACUCCUGACUGACCGAUAGUGAACCAGUACCGUGAGGGAAAGGCGAAAAGAACCCCGGCGAGGGGAGUGAAAAAGAACCUGAAACCGUGUACGUACAAGCAGUGGGAGCCUCUUAAUGGGGUGACUGCGUACCUUUUGUAUAAUGGGUCAGCGACUUAUAUUCUGUAGCAAGGUUAACCGAAUAGGGGAGCCGAAGGGAAACCGAGUCUUAACUGGGCGUUAAGUUGCAGGGUAUAGACCCGAAACCCGGUGAUCUAGCCAUGGGCAGGUUGAAGGUUGGGUAACACUAACUGGAGGACCGAACCGACUAAUGUUGAAAAAUUAGCGGAUGACUUGUGGCUGGGGGUGAAAGGCCAAUCAAACCGGGAGAUAGCUGGUUCUCCCCGAAAGCUAUUUAGGUAGCGCCUCGUGAAUUCAUCUCCGGGGGUAGAGCACUGUUUCGGCAAGGGGGUCAUCCCGACUUACCAACCCGAUGCAAACUGC